rnacentral:rRNA from 1 species
AACGAACGCUGGCGGCAUGCCUAACACAUGCAAGUCGAACGAAACCUUCGGGUCUAGUGGCGCACGGGUGCGUAACGCGUGGGAACCUGCCCUUAGGUUCGGAAUAACUCCCCGAAAGGGGUGCUAAUACCGGAUAAUGUCUUCGGACCAAAGAUUUAUCGCCUUUGGAUGGGCCCGCGUUGGAUUAGCUAGUUGGUAGGGUAAAAGCCUACCAAGGCGACGAUCCAUAGCUGGUCUGAGAGGAUGAUCAGCCACACUGGGACUGAGACACGGCCCAGACUCCUACGGGAGGCAGCAGUGGGGAAUAUUGGACAAUGGGCGAAAGCCUGAUCCAGCAAUGCCGCGUGAGUGAUGAAGGCCUUAGGGUUGUAAAGCUCUUUUACCCGGGAUGAUAAUGACAGUACCGGGAGAAUAAGCUCCGGCUAACUCCAUG